AUUGAACGCUGGCGGCAUGCUUUACACAUGCAAGUCGAACGGCAGCACGGGUGCUUGCACCUGGUGGCGAGUGGCGAACGGGUGAGUAAUGCAUCGGAACGUGCCCAUGAGUGGGGGAUAGCCCGGCGAAAGCCGGAUUAAUACCGCAUACGCCCUUAGGGGGGAAAGCGGGGGAUCUUCGGGACCUCGCGCUAUUGGAGCGGCCGAUGUCGGAUUAGCUAGUAGGUGAGGUAAAGGCUCACCUAGGCGACGAUCCGUAGCUGGUCUGAGAGGAUGAUCAGCCACACUGGGACUGAGACACGGCCCAGACUCCUACGGGAGGCAGCAGUGGGGAAUUUUGGACAAUGGGCGCAAGCCUGAUCCAGCCAUGCCGCGUGAGUGAAGAAGGCCUCGGUUGUAAGACUCUUCUAGGUGGAAGAAAGUAGACGCUGUUAAUAGAUAGGCGUUGAUGACGGUACCGACCACGAAGAAGACACCGG
rnacentral:rRNA from 1 species